CCAGCCUGUCGAGUCGGGGCAAGGACAUCAUUUUGGGAGCAGAUCAGCACUGCUUGACGAACACGUGUGAAACCAGAUCAAGCCUCACCUCUUUACCAAGGGAACCUGGUUAAUGAAAUCUAACUAGCUGGAGCCACAUUCCCAGUGGACAAACGGAGGUGGUUUUCCAUGCCCUGGCUACGGGAUGAUGCAACUGCCAGGUAAAGGACGUUGUGGCUGCAAAACAGUUCUAGCUCAAGAGAGGAGGAAUACUUAACAGAGAACUCAGCUGAGGAUUACUAAAUAUAUGGACCACAUCAGCCUGAGGAAAUCCUUCAGUUAAAAGCGUUUGGAAGGUGGGACAAUAUUCUGGGCAGCAUGGGCUAAAUGAAGCUUUGGUGUAAGCCACUGUAGUUGUGUUCUUAUGGAGCCUCUGGCCCUUCAUUCUUGUUUCAGAUGGACCUUUCUUUUAGUAUCCUUCAGCUUAGGUCCUAUGGAGUGCUUCUGCAGGAUUGUUCAAAGAAGGUAGCAUGCUGUUAGGCUUGUACUUGCUACAAAGGAGACGGCGUUUCUGCAAAAAAACACAGAGGGCUCUGCAAAUCCUAAAGGAAGUCUGAAAGCCACUUUUUUCUGCUCUGGCACUCUCUCAGGAAGCGCUCCUGUUGCACUUUGAGAUAGUAAAUGCUUCUUAGCGAGGUGCUGACACAGUGACUUGCUCCACUAAGGCCUGCUUGAAGCUGCCCAGCCCCAUCAGCAUUGGACAGCAGGUGAUGAUGCACAAGUCCAGCACAGAGCAGUUUGCAACUGGAAGGUCAGUCAUUACGCCAGAGUUGAGGAAGGCAGGAGAAAAUGAGCAAGUACUCUCUACCUAACUGGCACAAAGCACUGAUAAGGGGCAGAAACAGAUUCACGGAGCAAGAUGAUGCCGUGGCUGUUGGAAACAGCUCUUGAUUUCACUGCUUGGUAGAUGACAAAAUCCUGGGCUCUUUUUAGCAGAAAUUUGUCUUCAGCCCUGUGCUGCCCAAUACAAGCGAGCCCACUGCUCAACAUGCUAAUAAACUUGUUGUUGUUCUC